ACGUAGGUGGCGAGCGUUAUCCGGAAUUACUGGGCGUAAAGCGCGAGCAGGCGGUCUUUUAAGUUUGACGUAAAAUCUCCUGGCUUAACUGGGAGGGGUCGUUGAAGACUGGAAGGCUUGAGGCGAUGAGAGGGGUGUGGAAUUCCCGGUGUAGUGGUGGAAUGCGUAGAUAUCGGGAGGAACACCAGAGGCGAAAGCGGCACCCUGGCAUUGGCCUGACGCUGAGAUGCGAAAGCGUGGGGAGCGAACGGGA
rnacentral:rRNA from 1 species